UAGGGAAUCUUGCGCAAUGGGCGAAAGCCUGACGCAGCCAUGCCGCGUGAAUGAUGAAGGUCUUAGGAUUGUAAAAUUCUUUCACCGGGGAAGAUAAUGACGGUACCCGUAGAAGAAGCCCCGGCUAACUUCGUGCCAGCAGCCGCGGUAAUACGAAGGGGGCUAGCGUUGCUCGGAAUUACUGGGCGUAAAGGGCGCGUAGGCGGAUAUCUAAGUUGGGGGUGAAAUCCCGGGGCUCAACCUCGGAAUUACCUUCAAAACUGGGUAUCUUGAGUUCGGGAGAGGUGAGUGGAACUCCGAGUGUAGAGGUGAAAUUCGUAGAUAUUCGGAAGAACACCAGUGGCGAAGGCGACUCACUGGCCCGAUACUGACGCUGAGGCGCGAAAGCGUGGGGAGCAAACAGG
rnacentral:rRNA from 1 species